rnacentral:lncRNA from 1 species
UUUCAAUCAAAACCAAUGAUGCAAACAACUUAGACAAUUUCUAAUUGAUGCAAGACUUUCAUUGAUGGAUUAAACAUAGGCAAUAGCAUCAGAUAACAAUAGGAUUGAACUUAGACACUAUGAGAUAUGCUUAUGUAUGCAAAAUGGCUUAUCAAUCAUGAUGCAAGCAGCAGAGACAUUCUACUCAAUUCUACAACACAUUCAGGAUGAUUCAAGCUAUGACAACAUCCAAGACAAUGCAAUAACAGACCAUGAGAUUCUGGGACUCUAGACAUUACUUACUAUCAAUAAGACAAUGCAGCAGCAAAACAAUUUCAGUGCAAUUAGCCUAGACAUUCUACUAGAAGCUAUAAAUUCUUAAUGGCAUUAGGGAAAGCACAUAGUAUAAUCAGGAGAUAAACCUAUCAAGACAUAUUAAAAUAGAUGAGAUUAGGUUUACUCCCUUGGUUAAAAUGAUGAGGAGUGGUUCUCAAAGUUACCACUUGAAUCCUUAC